UACAGGGAGACCAACUUCAGUAACCAGUAACCAGCGACCAGCGACCAGUAAGAUGCGUCACGGUACUGCCGGACAAGAGCUGGAAACUGAGGACAUCCCGAGGUCGGACGACACCGACAAAACAGCUCGAGUGAAGCAACGCUUUCAAACUAGAACUGGUUCGGUAAGAGUGUUACCACCAGUAGGGGCUAUUAGCUCAGGUGGUUAGAGCGCACCCCUGAUAAGGGUGAGGUCCCUGGUUCGAGUCCAGGAUGGCCCACCUCAACAGAACUCAGAAUUGAGAAUGCACAAGUCGAAAGUAGCACAGACAACUUGUGGCAAGAUGAACGGAAGAUGAUAGACUAGUCAAGUUGGGCAAAAUUCAGCACUGUCUGCUGGGCGGACAACUGCUGGGUAGAUUCCAGCGAGCACCUUGAAAACUGCAUAGAGACAAGAGAUAAAGUCAGGUAGAAAACCAAGUAUUUGCGAAAUUACU
rnacentral:tRNA from 1 species